GAGAGGGGGAGGGGAGGGGGAAUGAAGAGUGCUCACUCUGUCUAAAUUUCUAGACACUGGAAAUAUAUGUGUAAGAAUAUUCCCGCCUGACCACUCAGAAGCUUCCUUCUUGCCUGCGGUCAGAGACACCAAAACUAAUGAUAUCAAACUUUCAGUGAAAAUUCAUCAUUUCAACCCUGUUGCCCCUUCAAUUGACCAUCCCACAUGUAUGCAUCUUCUCUACACCCAUGCAUCUCAUCUCCCAUUGUGAGGAACUCAGGCACCAUCCCAGUCCACCCCAGCCUCUGCGUUAGGCCCCCCCAUAGAGGGUGUUUGUGGGGAUUAGGCACAGCACUGAUGUUAUCUAGGCACCUUCUCUUCAGAGGCGGAAGUCUUGUGGGGUUUAGAUGUUUGACCUGAGGCUCAGAGGUUCCGAUUACAGGACGGGACUGCGCUUUGUGUCCUUGAGCAAAGUGUCUACCAAGCCUUCUACGCUUCAGUUAACAUCUACUGUUCUUACACAAAUAAGUGAUGUAUAAACCUGAAAGCUAUGUAUGUUGCUUUGGAUAAA